rnacentral:misc_RNA from 1 species
GCAGAACUAGGUUAAGGAGAGCCGUACCUUUGGUAAGAGAUCUUGAAACAUUCGUCGACUAUUUAAGAUAUUACUCCCAAAGAUUAGUUCCUCUACGCCUGCCUUCAAUUUCUCUGGCUGUAGGACCUAACUCGUCCACUUCAUUUCCAACGAUACCAAUUUCUUGGGCACCUUCUUCCCAUUCAUCAUCAUCUUCAACCUCAUCAUCUACUUCAGCUUCGUCUAUGAUAAAAUCACGAUAUUUGUCUUUUCUUCUUUUCCUACGAGGUCUAUCAUCAUCCUCCUCUUCUUCUUCUUCGUCAUAUUCGCUACUUCCCUCCAAAUCUUCUCCUAAACAAAAAUUAAAAUAAAUAUUAAUAUGAUAAAAGAAAUUUAUAUAUGUAUUUAUAUUCUUUGUCAUUUACCUUCAG